CGUUCUAUGGCCAAACUGGUUAAAGCACCGCCGAUUACAAGCAAAGAUGCGGGUUCUAGUCCCGCUGGAACUG
rnacentral:tRNA from 1 species